GACGAACGCUGGCGGCGUGCUUAACACAUGCAAGUCGAACGAUGAAGCCCAGCUUGUUGGGUGGAUUAGUGGCGAACGGGUGAGUAACACGUGAGUAACCUGUCCUUGACGCUGGGAUAAGCCUGGGAAACUGGGUCUAUUAUUGGAUAUGACUUCUCAUCGCAUGGUGGGGGGUGGGAAGAUUUGUUGGUCUUGGGUGGACUCGCGGCCUAUCAGCUUGUUGGUGAGGUAUUGGCUCACCAAGGCGACGACGGGUAGCCGGCCUGAGAGGGUGACCGGCCACACUGGGACUGAGACACGGCCCAGACUCCUACGGGAGGCAGCAGUGGGGAAUAUUGCACAAUGGGCGGAAGCCUGAUGCAGCGACGCCGCGUGAGGGAUGACGGCCUUCGGGUUGUAAACCUCUUUCAGUAGGGAAGAAGCGAGAGUGACGGUACCUGCAGAAGAAGCGCCGGCUAACUACGUG
rnacentral:rRNA from 1 species